UUCCUAGUGCCUCCCAUUCCUA
rnacentral:miRNA from 1 species